rnacentral:lncRNA from 1 species
AGUGAAUUUGGGGCUUGCUGUUUUCCCCAUUUUGGACGUUUGCUGAUAUGUGCCAUUUUAUUUGAAGAUGGAAGUAAGUGAACAUGGCGUUGAACAUUGCUCAUUGUAC